rnacentral:lncRNA from 1 species
AAACAAGUGCUUGAAGGCAGUAUGCUUGGUAAAAGUCAUCGCCAUUCUCUAAUCUUGAGUACCCAGGGACACGAUACACUGCGGAAGGCUGCAGGGACCUCUGCCCAGGAAAGCCAGGAGCCAGAAAAACUUCAUCUCUUUUACAAGAAACAUUGAGAUUCCUGUAAAAUUAAGAAAUCACACAAUUUGAUGGUCUACAUUAUCUAAAGCAAAUGAGACUUCUAUUUGGAACAAAGACUACCUUGUUGGGAAAUGAGUCUGCAAGUUAAAGUGUUUUCUGGGAUCACUCUAAGCUCCAGUGUCAAGGAGUCAAGUCCUUCAGGAAUUCUCUGCCUCCACUCCCUGUGGCAGAGCUAGAGUGGCUGCCAUGCUUCUGAGCUCAGCCAGCAUCCAGAGAGAGAGUGAGAUACAGCCUCCUCUUCUUGAAGCACCCACUUCUAAACUCUGUGACAGUUUUCUUGGAACUCUGUUAUGUGGAUCUGGAGAUGACAAUGUCACAGCACUCCCCUCUAAGCCUAAAUUCCCCCACACCGAUGAACUAUUAGGAUCCAGUAUCUGCCGGAGGAGCCCCACCUUCUGCUACUAUUAUGUUCUUCAGAUGAGUAGAAGAGAGUGGGGAGGGAGAGAGCAGGAAGAAGAAAGGAAGAAUAAUGUCUUGAAAUUGUUUUCUAAGGAUAAUGGUCUCCAGCUUCGUCAAUGUUCCUGCAAAGGACAUGAUGCUGACUUUGAAGAUGCAAGCUUCCACAUCUACAGCCUCAAGGAAACAAAUUCAGCCAACCAACUGAGGGAGCUUUCCUUGUCCUGCCUCAAGAUGAGAUCACAGUCUGCCCAACACCAUGAUUUAGGCCUUGUGACACCUGGUAUGGAAGACCCAGUUAAGUUCUCUCCAAACUCUUGACCCACAGAACCUGUGAGAAAAUAUAUGGAUAUUAUUUUAAACUGCUAAAUUUGUAGUAAUUUGUUAUGCAGCAAUAAAAAAAACUAAUGCAAGGAGAUAUCAA